AUGUCUACCUGUCUCACUGAUAUGAUUGAUGCCAAUGGGAUUGAUUUUAUUGGGUUACAGGAGACUAUGAAAGAGACAUAUAAAGCAUCCUUUUUUAGGAAGCUUGACCCGAGACAGAGGUUUCAUUGGGAAUGGAACCCAUCCAGGGGGAAAUCUGGAGGGAUCCUUUGUGGGAUUAGUAAAGAUAACUUUGAUAUACUCGCAACUAGGAGUGGUAAAUAUAUACUGCAGUUAGAUCUGUUGGAUAAGAUCAAAAACUGUAGCUGGUCAUUGAUGAUUGUAUAUGGUGCGGCUCAUGAUGAAUAUAAACCUGAAUUCAUUGCAGAGCUAUCUAAUAUGUGCCAUAACACUAGCAUGCCAUAUUUGGUUGGGGGGGACUUUAAUAUCAUUAGACACAGUGGGGAGAAAAAUAAAAAAACAGCCGUAUCUCACUUCUCUGAUGUGUUCAAUUCUGUCAUACACUUACUUGGGAUGAGGGAGAUCCAUAUGUCAGGUGGUGCUUAUACCUGGUCCAAUAAGCAAGAAAACCCUACUUUGGAAAAAUUGGACAGAGUCCUUAUGUCCCCUGAUUGGGAAGAUCUUUAUCCCCUUGUGUCAGUUAAUAAGUUGAUCAAGGAGAUUUCUGAUCAUAAUCCCCUGCUUUUGGAUGGAGGGAAUGCC
rnacentral:rRNA from 1 species